AUCCAGCUGAUGAGUCCAAAAUAUGAAGAAACGGGUGUCCUGGAU
rfam:Schistosoma mattheei strain Denwood, Zambia genome assembly, scaffold: SMTD_contig0006209